AGAGUUUGAUCCUGGCUCAGAACGAACGCUAGCGGCGUGGAUAAGACAUGCAAGUCGAACGGGCCGGGCAACCGGUCAGUGGCGGACGGGUGCGUAACACGUGGGCAACAUGCCCGGAAGAGGGGGAUAGCCCGGGGAAACCCGGAUUAAUACCGCAUGUGGCGGACGGUGGCAUCACCGUUUGUCGAAGGAGGGGAUCGCAAGACCUUCCGCUUCCGGAUUGGCCCGCGGCCUAUCAGCUUGUUGGUGUGGUAACGGCGCACCAAGGCGACGACGGGUAGCUGGUCUGAGAGGAUGGCCAGCCACAUUGGAACUGAGACACGGUCCAGACACCUACGGGUGGCAGCAGUCGAGAAUCAUUCACAAUGGGCGGAAGCCUGAUGGUGUGACGCCGCGUGGGGGAUGAAGGUCUUCGGAUUGUAAACUCCUGUCAUCCGCGAGCAAGGUUUGUGGGGUAAUAUCCCAUGGGCUUGAUAUUAGCGGAAGAGGAAGGGACGGCUAACUCUGUGCCAGCAGCCGCGGUAAUACAGAGGUCCCAAGCGUUGUUCGGAAUCACUGGGCGUAAAGGGUGCGUAGCGGCGCGCCAAGUCGGAUGUGAAAGACCGGGGCUCAACC
rnacentral:rRNA from 1 species